rnacentral:rRNA from 1 species
CCUACGGGAGGCAGCAGUGGGGAAUCUUGCACAAUGGGCGAAAGCCUGAUGCAGCAACGCCGCGUGCGGGAAGAAGGCCCUAGGGUUGUAAACCGCUUUCAGUAGGGAAGAAAAUGACGGUACCUACAGAAGAAGGUGCGGCCAACUACGUGCCAGCAGCCGCGGUGACACGUAGGCACCAAGCGUUAUCCGGAUUUAUUGGGCGUAAAGAGCUCGUAGGCGGUUUGGUAAGUCGGGUGUGAAAACUCUGGGCUCAACCCAGAGACGCCACCCGAUACUGCUAUGACUAGAGUACGGUAGGGGAGCGGGGAAUUCAUGGUGUAGCGGUGAAAUGCGCAGAUAUCAUGAGGAACACCAGCGGCGAAGGCGCCGCUCUGGGCCGUAACUGACGCUGAGGAGCGAAAGCAUGGGUAGCAAACAGGAUUAGAUACCCUGGUAGUCCACGCUGUAAACGAUGAGCGCUAGGUGUUGCGGGUGUUGACCCCUGCAGUGCCGCAGCUAACGCAUUAAGCGCUCCGCCUGGGAAGUACGGCCGCAAGGCUAAAACUCAAAGGAAUUGACGG